GCGUGACCCCCCCAAAGGGGUCCUGGGCCAAGGAAAUUUGUGGGCACUCCCACCGUUCUGCCAGUCCACACCAAAGUGGGAGAAAACCUUCAAACCUUAAUUACUGGGUAGAGCUAGUGUUUUAUUCUCCCAAAGGCUGGGGGAGGAAAGGAGGCAGGGCAGAGAGAUGAACCUCACAGAAUAAGGCCUGACUAGAGAGACAGCUGAGGAAUCCUUGAAACAAGAAGGAAAAGGAAAGGAGAAGCACCCCUGGUGUGGAUCAGGAGAAGAAUAGAAGUCAUCUUGGAGAAGAGCCAAAGGACCCACUGCCCACACCUGCGCUGCCCAGGAUGGAGCCACUCACCACUGGUGGCUAUUUAC
rnacentral:lncRNA from 1 species